UACACGCUGUGACUAGCAUAUCAAUAAGCGGAGGAAAAGAAACUAACAAGGAUUCCCCUAGUAACGGCGAGUGAAGCGGGAAGAGCUCAAAUUUGAAAUCUUAAAGGGUUUCCCUUUACGAAUUGUAGUUUAAAGAAGUGUUUUCUGUUGAGGUUUUGGUAAAAGUUCUUUGGAAUAGGACAUCAUAGAGGGUGAGAAUCCCGUAUUUGACCUUUACUUUCAACUUUGUGAUACACUUUCAAAGAGUCGGAUUGUUUGGGAAUGCAGUCCAAAAUGGGUGGUAAAUUUCAUCUAAAGCUAAAUAUUGGCGAGAGACCGAUAGCGAACAAGUACCGUGAGGGAAAGAUGAAAAGAACUUUGAAAAGAGAGUUAAACAGUACGUGAAAUUGUCAAAAGGGAAGCGUUUGACACCAGUGUUGUUUUUCUGAAAAUCAAUUAAAGAACUGUUUAUGCUAAGCUGUUUAGACUUUAUCAGCUAUCUGUUUAGUUUUGAGCUUUUCUUUAAUGCACUUUUCAGUUAACAAGUCAACAUCAAUUUCUUUUGCUGUAAAAAAGCUUGAGGAAGGUGGCUUGAGAUUGUCUUAAGUGUUUAUAGCCUCUUGCCUAUGCAGUCGGAGAGAUUGAGGUCUGCAGCGUAGAUCCUUCGGGGCUAAAUGCAUUUGUGCUAAGUUAUAGCCUUUCAUAGACAACUUGUUGACUAUGAUCAGUCAUGUAGCUUACUCGCUUAUGCUAUUUUACCUACGCUUAGGAUGUUGACGAGACUGUCGAUCUC
rnacentral:rRNA from 1 species